UGCUAUAAUUUUAAAUAAACGCAAAGGCACGAUGGUUCUAUGCAUUUAUGUGCCUUAAUAUGUGCAUGAAACAAACUCUAAUUCAAAAAAUAUCCCCUGGAUAUAAUAUGUCACUCAAUAAAAUUCAACAAAAUCGUAUACAUAAACGUAUAAAGGAAGGGGUUUCAAAAAUUUUGUCAUGUAAAUAUGUCAAAGUGCUAUUGUGUUCAAUAAUGUAGAUAACCUAAAGCAAGACAAGAAAGGAAUUUAAAUUUUUUGAGAUUUAUUUAGAUAAAAAAGCUUCACGUGUGGCAAAAUUUAGCACAAAUGUCAAGGGUUAACCUAAGUUAAUGGACGCAAUGGUCAAGUGCAAAUCCAUUAACGCACUCAUAUGGAAAAAGGCAAAAUUUUUCAACGAGUACUUUUGUAAUCUGAUCAACCAACUGCCAGCAAUACAUGUAAUCAGAUGUAAGACGUUAUGAAUUGACCAUAUUCUUAGCUUAGAAGUCUUAUAAACAACGUAGCUAUACAAGCAUUGCACUGGAAUUCGCUAGACAACCGCUAGUCGGACACCCCAGCAAAACUGAAUAUACGCAAGUUGAUAUCACACAGUCAGCGUCAAAUACGAGUAGAAUAUGAUAUAAAUGGAAGAUAGAGGCCCUAUGUUCUAGCAGGAGUGAAGGAGGCAGUAAAAAAAUUUGCGAACAUAGAAGACAGUUGGUUAAGG